AGCGCAGGCGGGAGAACAAGUUGGAAGUGAAAUCCAUGGGCUCAACCCAUGAACUGCUUUCAAAACUGUUUUUCUUGAGUAGUGCAGAGGUAGGCGGAAUUCCCGGUGUAGCGGUGGAAUGCGUAGAUAUCGGGAGGAACACCAGUGGCGAAGGCGGCCUACUGGGCACCAACUGACGCUGAGGCUCGAAAGUGUGGGUAGCAAAACGA
rnacentral:rRNA from 1 species